UGUCAGCAUUCUGUAAGCUCCACGGGUGAGCUGGAAGAACAAUUCAACAUCCAGUUCUGAAGAUGAGCAGCCAUUUAAAUGUAUGCAAAAGGCAAAGAAUAUAAUUGCCCUUCCUUUAAAAGGCGACAAGGACUACAAAUCCUAGUGGCAAAGGACAGCUACUGAAGAGAACAAAACCAGUGACGGCUCACUGCUCGCUCACACCAACAGCAUCCCACACUUGGCUGCAGCACACCUCUGGGAGGGCCUGGAGUCAGCCUGGACCGUGAAGAAGUAAUGUUCCUGAGACAGGGUCUGGCAAAGUCUCAGCCAUACUGCCGUCUCUCCCUGAGCUUCUCUAGAAUACAGAGAGGAAGCGUCAGGGUUCGACCGAAGUACCCGAACGAAGAGAGUAGGCUCUAGGAUGAGCUCUUACACUGUCCUCAACCACAGGCUGCACAUGUAUGUGGUCCAGAGACACAGAAGAGUAACACUCCCUAUGUCUCAUACUUUGUCAAACCUCACCCAACAAUUCUUGAAAGUGAAAAACAUUCUUGUGGGGUGUGAUGGCACACGCCGGUUAUCCCAGCACUCAGGAGGCUGAGGCAGGAAAGUCGCUGCGAGUUUAAGACCCUUAAUUAUAGACACCAAUAACAGAAGCUACUACACUGGACAGGCUGAGACUGGAUCAGCCUCCUGGGAGAACGGGGAUUUGAAGGGUGUGCCACCAAGGCCAGCCUCCAAGAAUCAGUUUUAAUAGCAUCACAGAUGACCUGGAAGCCAAUCAGAUUCUGAGGACCAACUGCUUAACCCUGGGACUACCCCACUGACUCCUGGAUAUUUUCAAGCACUUCUUGGAGGCAGAGUCUGCGAAGAAUUACCUGGAGGUCUAAUGCGCAAAAUGACUCGGUCUCUCACGUUUCACCAAACCAAAGAGAAAAAAGCAUGUGAGCUAUCCUCGUUAUAAUCAACUAAUUCACAAGAGCUCACCUCAGAUUCUGUGGCUGAUCUUGGUAAUUUAAUGUGGGUGGCUUUGAUCCCAAUCUGCAAAAGCAAACAUUUAAAACAG